ACAUUUUGAAUUCUGAAUUGAAAUAUCUCUAAAAUGGGCAGCACACUUUCUCAUCUACAGAGCAUGAGAAAUGUAAUUUAACCAUUCACUGAUGGUCAUAAAUAUCGAUGAUUCCACCUUAUAAAACAGAGAUACUUUUAGUGGCCCUGAGACCGUGUUAGGCUAUUUUCCCCUACACUAAAAGGCCUAGACAUCUCAUGAUUUCAAAGUUAUCAAUAGGAUCUAUCUUUCUUCUCUCACGACCAGCUGUUGGCUGUUUGGGGGUGGUAAGUUCACGGGUGAUUUGUUUUCUUUUCAAAUAAAAAUAUGUAGUGUAUGCACAUUCCUUUAGUGGAAAAAUAUCUAUCUUAAAUAUGUGUUAACAAAGGUACAAGUAGUAUCGUCCAGGAAAACAGCCAGGAGUGAUUUUGGUGGUGGAAGGUCAGCAGUGGGAGGAGUGUGGGGCAGGAAAGGCUUCCGUAAAGAGGUCACAUCAGAGGACAAGAUGUUGAGACGCCAAAGCUAGGGGCGAAUUCCUCCAAGAGAGGAUAACGCGAUUAAGCUCCAGGGUCACAGUCCUCGUGGGUUUCCGAGCCACGAAGACAAAUCUCCAAUCCUGGCUCUGCAACCUCUUCUGUUUGACCUUGGACCAGACUCGCCUUGCGAACGGCAGCCAGUGCUGGCGGGCUGCACCGUGCCAGCGAGAGCGGCAUCACACUGGCCGAGAGCCUGGACGGUUCGGGGUCCAAGGCCUUGAGAGUCACUGCAGACUCCCCCAAAAUGCUAAUCAAGGUUGGAUCACGAGUCUGUGUUCAUCUGGAGGACGAACUGAGCUGGGCUGAAAGUCACAGUGGCCCCGGGCAUGUGUCUGCACUAGAUUCUGCGUGUUGAUGGCAGGGACUCCCUCCUCCUCCAUCUGGUCUGUCUUCCUUCUUCCUCACCUCGCCGGGGCUAGCCUGGACGACUUCAUGACAUGGCAGCUGGGGCAUCGGGAGCGGGAGAAGAAGCCCUAGAAUCAGGAGCACACACAGCAUCACUUCUGCCACUUUCUCUUGGCAUAAUCAAGUGGCGCGUCCAGCCCAGAUGAAAGAGCGGUUCACCUCUUGACAAGAAGUCUUCAGAAAAUGCGUCUGUGUCUUCCAGGCAGUCCUGUGGCACGUGUGCGAGUGACCGGUCUGCCAGGAUGGCAGGUGUGGGCCAGCGACGCUCUGGCCGCCUGGGACUUGGGGUCACCCUAAACCCUGAGACAGCAGAGGCUUUUGUACUGGGUUUUCUGCUCUUCAGACCCGCACAACUACAACUUGGAAACAGAAAGACUGGAUGCCUCCCCUGGAGAGUUUUAUUUUUCCUUGUUUUGUUCUGUUUUCCCAAUUUGUUUAGUUGGUUAGAUUUGCUAUUUAAGUGAUACCACGUUUCACUAAAGAUAAUUGGAGAUGCUAGAGCCUACCUACACAAAGCCAAUUUGGAAAGGUGCAUAACUGCUGUCAUUCUGGACCCUAACACCCUUCCCUCGAAGCUGAGCUGGUUUUACACGCCCCAAAUACUCUCCUUUAACCUCGUUGGCCACCCUUCUCCUUCUCCCGGCGAAGUCCUCGUGUAUCAGGGGCUGGCCCUCUGGCCACACAGCACCUGUGCUCCCGAGCCUGGAUGCAGGACACUGAGAAAGCAGUCGGGCUGCUUACUGAGUCUGUGACUUUGGAGUCCCUGUGGUCAGUCUCCUCAAAGGAUAAUGUGUUUAAUGGUCUCAGAUCUGCUUGCUGCAUAGGGCAAUUAUGAAUUCAAAUGACAGCCGUGGAACCCUCUGGAAAAAUACAUUAAUUUAUCGUAUCUAUUGAGAUUCAUAAUAAAAAUGCAAAAAUUGUCCCUGA